rnacentral:lncRNA from 1 species
CGCGAGGCGAGGGCGAGGCCAACGGCCGCCCCCGGCCCCGGCGCCCCUCGGCAGCCGCGCCGGGAAGCUGCUGAGGCAAGGCCUUCCAGGGUUCAGGUGCGAGGCCCCUCGCUGCCGCUCCUGAGCCUGUGUCACGGCUUAGGCCGUGCUCGGCCGCCUCUUGUGCGUGAAAGGUGCUGCUGUGGCGAGCGGAACCCGGCAUUUCCUGAGUGCAGCGCUCAUGUGCCACGGGCUUGGUGUUGUCCCCAGGAAAGCCUCUUCCUAGAUGGAAUAGAGAACACCCAUAGAGAAAGAAAAGAUGGUCAAGUUUCUGGGAAGAGGAAGCUCUCGCCUGGAUUUGCUACCCUAUCUAGACAAGUUUUGUGGACAUUCUUCACUUCUUCUGUAUCUUCACAAUGAUACAGAAGAAACCAGGAUAUGUGCAUCACUGCCAUCAAAUAUUAGACUUAAAACACUGGAAGAGGUCUGUGCCACCAGGAUCCCCUAAAACACCAGCAUCACCUAAAACACCUGGACUGUUAGAGGUAUUUUGGUUACAUACAUCAUUUCACUCAGUCAUAUCAGUUAAAAAGAGUGCCCUGGUUAAGUUCUGGGAAAUUGUUGGAACAUGCCAUAAGCAGUAUUUUAGAUUUUGAAUUUUAUGUAUAUUAUAGCAUAAAACAAUGCCUUAAUAUUUAAAAUAAUAAUUAUGUUUUAAUGAAAGCUGAAAUAUCAAGACCUAGGUAUUGAAACUAAUGUAACUGUAAACAGGAACUGAAACAUGCCUCAAUAAACCCUAGGAGAAAGCUGGGAACA